AGGUUUCAUAUUUUGAAAACGUAGCAGCAAUGGAGGAGUCGGGGCUUAAAGGCUUGGUGGGGGAGAGGGUUAAAGGUUUGUGAGGGGUGGAGAUUGGGGAUUUAGGUUUGAGGGUUGAGGAAAUGGGGGUUUUGGAGUUCUCAACUCGGGAGGAAGGGUUUGAAUAGAUUAUACAAUCUGUUCUUUUUUUUAAUUUUUUUUUAAAGACCUAGACCAAAACGACGUCGUUUUGGCCAGGUCUUUAAAAAAAAAAAUUCGCUGAGCUGGUCCAAAACAACGCCGUUUUGUCCAACUUCCUUUUAAAAAAAAAAAAAACAGAACCCCUCUUUAGCUUCUUCUUCCUCAUAUCUGCAACAUCCACCUUCAACCAUUCAUGGGGUCCCAUUCAUGGGGUCACACCCAUUCAAAGGGACCUUUUACCUUGCUUUCAUGGAGUCCAUAGAGUCGUUUGACCCAAUUGAUCCUACUGUGAGUCCUUCCCUGCACACACACAUAUAUGUGUUGAGGAGGACAGCAAUACUACAAACAUGUACGUUCUAGAGAGUGAUUUGGUGAUGAAUAUUCUUUAGGCUAAACUGUUAGUCAAAUAAAGAUAAUUAAUUACUAUAUUUACAGAAUUUCGAAAAUAAAACUUCACUAUAAAUUCGAAAUAAAUACAAGAAAAUAACGACAAGGAAAAUUAAGAAUGCUUUACAGAUGAUCUCGACAACUUGGUUCUAUCUCCUUAAGACGAAAUUGCCUCCUCACAAGUGUUUUUAGGAUUUGCUUAGUAAACAUCUCCCAAGAUACAACGAUCGACUUCUUGUUGAAGUAACAUUCCAAUCCCCAAGAAAAGCUAAGUCAAACUUGUGUAUGAACUCUUUCUUACUAACUCACUAUAUUUCUAAAAAUAUAAUGCUAUGAAUGCUCCAAAAACUACUAUUGUAG
rnacentral:lncRNA from 1 species